GAAAAAACAAUCAAAAUAAUAUACUAACUGUGGCAAGCAAGAGAGCAAUCUAUUUGGUUCUUUUAACAAACAUCAUCAUUGGUUCCAUAUUAGUAAUCACAUAUUUAUUGUUGUAUGCUAUCAAAUAUAACACAAUCCACAAGCAAGUUUCCCAAAAAGUAUAUGAAGAAACCUGUAAAAAGGGACAAAAGAGAAGAUAAAUUUUCAAUCAUCUUCAUUGGAAAUUUUAACAGAGUUAAAAAAAAAAUACAAAAAUAGCAAAAAGAAAUUGCAAGGGAUACAUGAAUCACUAUGACUUACGGUAAAAGAUUAAUAUUCAUAAAAUAGGAGGAAGAAAGCUUUGAGAAAUGGAACACACUUCAUAAGAAGCUUAAUAAAUGUAUAUGUAUUUGACUGUCUUAAUGCAAAAAAUCCUACAAAUAAUAGUGGCAGAAAUAAAAGAUUUGUUUUCUAAAGAACCAAAUGUAAUGAAUUCAACCAUUUCAAAAGCGUUAUGAGUUGUGGGCGGAGAGGUGCAAGAAUAGUAAUGUUGCAGUGCAAUUAAAAUCAAUUUUCAUUGUUUAUAUGAAGAAACUUGUAGAAAGGGACAAAAGAGAAUAUCAAUUUUCAAUCAUCCUUGCUGAUAUUUUUUAACAGAGGUAGACGAAAGUCACCAAGAUAGAAAAAAGGUAUUGUCAUUGUUACAUGAAUCACUAUGAUUUAUAGAAAAGAUUAAACUCCAUGAAAUUGGAGGAAGAAAACUUUGAAGAAUGAAACAAACUACAUAAGAAGCUUAAUUAAUGAAUUUGAAUUUGACUACCCUAUAGCGGAAAAAAAAACACCUACAAAUAAUAGUGACAGGAAGUCCCUCUAUUUAUAGACAACAAAUGGUAGUGUGAACAAAUUUUUAUUGUGCCUUGUCGAAAGGGUCACAACUCAUUGGAAAAGUUACAACUUUUUGGAAAGGUCACAGCGUUCCAUAAAAAUCAUAUUUUUUCAUAAAAGUUGCAACUCUUCAUAAAAGUUACCAAGUUCAAAAAAAAAAGUUACUACUUUUCAUACAAGUUACAAUUUUUCAGAAAAGUCGUAAUUUUUCAUAAAAGUCACUACUUUUCAUACAAGUUACAACUUUUCAGAAAAGUCGUAACUUUUCAUAAAAGUCACUAUUUUUCAUUAAAGUCAUAACUUUUCAUGAAAGAGGAAUACUAGUUUUGUAAAUAAAUAAAUUAAAAGGGAAUUAAUGAAAGGGGAAGGUUAGUUUUGUAAAUAAAUAAAGUAAAAGGGAAUUCUUGUUUGUGGUGGUGCCACACAAUCCACAAGCAAUUUUCCCAAAAAGUAUAUGAAGAAACCUGUAAAAAGGGACAAAAGAGAAGAUAAAUUUUCAAUCAUCAUCACUGGAAUUUUUAAUAGAGUUCAAAAAAAAAAGUUACAAAAAUAGAAAAAAGAAAUUGCAAGGGAUACAUGAAUCACUAUGACUUACGGUAAAAGAUUAAGCUUCAUAAAAUAGGAGGAAGAGAGCUUUGAGAAAUGGAACACACUUCAUAAGAAUAAGAAGCUUAAUAAAUGUAUAUGUAUUUGACUGUCUUAAUGCAAAAAAUCCUACAAAUAAUAGUGGCAGAAAUAAAAGAUUUGUUUUCUAAAGAACCAAAUGUAAUGAAUUCAACCAUUUCAAAAGUGUUAAGUGUUGUGGGCGGGGAGGUGCAAGAGUAGUAAUGUCGCAUUGCAAUUAAAAUCAAUUUUCAUUGUUUAUAUGAAGAAACUUGUAGAAAGGGACAAAAGAGAAGAUCAAUUUUCAAUCAUCCUUGCUGAUAUUUUUUAACAGAGGUAGACGAAAGUCACCAAGAUAGAAAAAAGGUAUUGUCAUUGUUACAUGAAUCACUAUAACUUGUAGUAAAGAUUAAACUCCAUGAAAUUGGAGGAAGAAAACUUUGAAGAAUGAAACAAACUUCAUAAGAAGCUUAAUUAAUGAAUUUGAAUUUGACUACCCUAUAGCGGAAAAAAAAACACCUACAAAUAAUAGUGACAGGAAGUCCCUCUAUUUAUAGACAACAAAUGGUAGUGUGAACAAAUUCUUAUUGUGCCUUGUCGAAAGGGUCACAACUCAUUGGAAAAGUUACAACUCUUCGGAAAGGUCACAACGUUUCAUAAAAGUCAUAUUUUUUCAUAAAAGUUGCAACUCUUCAUAAAAGUCACUACUUUUCAUACAAGUUACAACUUUUCAGAAAAGUCGGAAAAUAAAUAAAUUAAAAGGGAAUCCUGAUUUGUGGUGGCGCCAUGUAGGUGGGCAUAGGGUUCUCUUUUAUAUAUAUAUAUAUAUAUAUAUAUAUAUGAUUAUAGUUAUUACUAGAGCAUUGAUUUAUCAUAUAUUACUAAAAGUGGGAAGCUUCUAACCUCAAAGUUGGAUUACCAUUUUGCCCCUAAAAUAAAAUACAAUAUUAUUAAAUAUCUAAUUAAUUAAAUAAUAAUAAUUAUUUUAAAAACUUUUCUCAUUCAAAAAUAACAUUAAUUCUCUACAUCACCAAUUAAUCAUUAUGUCGAGAAUGUGGAGAAGAUAGAAAGUUGAAAAAAGUAAUUUAAUGUUGACCAAAUUCAUUGGAUUAUAUAAAUUAAAUAAACAUAAUUCUUUGGCAAUUAAAAUGUUACCAAGAAUUAUUAAAUGAAUGUUUGAAUUUUGAAUAGCCUCUACUAUACAGAAUUAAAAAUUGAAUAUGAGGGGUCAAUUUCCAUGUAGAAAUUAGUUUCGGAUUUAAAAGGUCAUUAUCUAAUACUAUUUAAGAUGGAUGCUAAUCACAUUAAAUUGAAUGAAUUGCACAAUUCAACAUUAGAAGAAAAGAGAGUUGGAAGCUGAACAAAAAAGUGCCGGAAGCUGCUAAUCAAGAAGAAGAAACAAAAGCAGCAGAAAAAAGAAAAGUAGAUUGAAUACAGGAGUAGAAGAAACAAUAUAUAUGUUAAUAUGUUUGACGCCAACAAUAAGAAAGUUACUAUUUGUUAUUUAUUCAUCUGAACGUGGAAACUUGCUUAGCAAUAUAUAUCAUCAACUCCUCACACUUGCUUUCUUUUUUCUAUUACAAGAUUUUAAUCCUUUAUAAUUCAUUUGUUUCCGAUUUUCAACUCGAUAUAGUUACAAACUUUAAAUUUAGUUAUCAUCGUGAGCCUUUGGAACAAUAAAUAUGAAAUCAAAUUUGUCAUUCUUCUUCUUCUGCUUCCAUAUUUUGAUGUCAUUUGUCUUUUAAUAUUUUUGGAAACCUUAAGUGAUUUUUUAAAAUUCUUUUCGGGCAUUAUUUUACCCUUAAAUUGCAAAAGGUUUGUUUACAAGAUACAAAUGUGACCGGACAUUUUAGUCAACACAAUACUUUGAUGAAUUGAGUAAUACUAUUCUCUUUUUUUUUUUAGUAAAGAAUGAUAAUAUUCAUCUAUAAGAAAAUACAAAAUAGAAGUUUGUAUCAUAGAUGACUUGCUUUAUGGGUCACACAAAGCUUAUUAUUGGUCAUUAAUGAGUUUAAUAUCUAGGCUUUUAAUUUUAUUAUGUGGAAAAGUAUUAAUUAUAGAUCAAAGAAAGUUCUAAGAUAUGUGUGCACCAGUUAAAAUUUAAAAUUGGAUAUAAAUUUAUAUUAAAAUUUAGAAAUUCACAGUUGAAUUAUCAUUUUGAUUUCAAAGUUUGAUUACCAUUUUGCCUCUACUAUAAAUUAAAAUGUUAUAAUAAUAAUUUUAUUUUUAUUUACUUUUUCUUGCUCAUUUACUCUAUCUUUUACUAAAUAAAAUAAUAAUGAUUCCAUUUAUCCCAAAAUAAAGAGUACUCCACUCGCCAUUAUAUCUGCCAACACGAGUAAUUGACAUUUUCAAUAAGUUUUAUCUAAUAAAUAUUUGUAUUCGUAACCGACUUUUUAUGUAAUCUAUAAUUACAAUAUAUGUAUUAACCUCUCACAAUUGUAAUAAUUAUAAUAAUAAUAAUAAUAAAGUUCUUGUACUAAUAGCAUGAGAUACACCGGCAGCAUACAUGUUGAGUAUAUAUAUAUCGUUAUAACAACUCCACACAACUUAGUAUGGGACACACGUGCGUUGCACGUGUCCAGGACUAGUUAUAUUAAAAAGGUGAUAUAAUAACAUUUUCAUUUUAUUUAUUUCUUUGAAUGUGUCAUUUCAAUAACGAACAAGUAAACAGAAAGAGAGUAAUAAAUUUGUGUGAUAAUAAGGACAAAUUUAAAACUUAAUAAUUAACUUCUAAACUGGACAAAUAACUAUUUUUAGUAUAAUCAACCAACGAAAAUAAACGGAGGGAGUAUAAAUCAAUUAAAUGAAAUAGUACACUAGAAUAUUUUUCAUUCAUUUGAAUUUUUAUUUUUUUAAGUGUAUGGCAUCAAUUAACAGUUGUACAAUUCAAGUGGUGCAAAAAAAAAAACCCUACCCUUACCCCCCACCUCCCCAUGUCCCCCACCCCCAAACACCCCCACAAUACACACCCAUGGGGUACUUUUGAGCACUACAAAUUCAAGACCAAACCCCUCACUUUCUUUCAUUCUUUGUUUGUCCUUCACAAAAACAAAGAACAAGAAAAAAACUAAACUCUGGCAAAAAAAAAAAAUCAUAUUUCAAAAUUCUUUCUUCAUCUUCUAGAAUUCCACAAAAUUUCAACAUUUUUUCAUCUUUUUUACUAUCAUUUUUUAUUAUUCGACAUGUCAACUAUAGUUUAUCAAGAUUUCCAGUCAUAUCAUUGAAACAACUACUCUUAAGCUCAAAGUACCAACCCCAACUACUGUACUGGAAAAUAUGAAUACUACUAAUGAAAAAUGUUGGAGUUCCGUUCAAAAUCUCUCAUCCAUCAAUUAUAUAUUCGAAGGAAAUGGAUAACUCUUAUAAAAAAUGAACUCCAACAGUGUAAUAGUGAGGCAAACCUCAAUGAGGAGGUCAAGUUACUAAAGGGGUUUAUGUAAUGUAAAACUCAUGAAAUAUAAGAGGGUGACAAAAGUUGGUUAAGGAAGAACUUGUAGGCUUCUAGGGUGGUAAACUUUCAAAUAUGCAUGACAUUUUAGGCUAAUCUCAUAUCAAAAAAUGAGAGAAACAUCAGAACAUUAUACUCACGCUACAAGACUAAAAAUAAUACACAAGUGCGUGGGUACAUACAUACAUUUAUCUCACCGAAGAUGCAAACCUUGAUCUAUUUUUGCAUCAAUUUAGAACUGGCACUACAAGAAAAGUGUGAAUUAC
rnacentral:lncRNA from 1 species